AGCAGCCGCGGUAAUUCCAGCUCCAAUAGCGUAUAUUAAAGUUGCUGCAGUUAAAAAGCUCGUAGUUGAAUUUCGGGACCAAUAUGUCGGUCGUGCCUCGGUACGUACUGGCAUUAUUGGUUUCUCCCUUCUGAAGAACCUUGAUGUCAUUAAUUUGGUGUCUUGGGGAAUCAGGACUGUUACUUUGAAAAAAUUAGAGUGUUUAAAGCAGGCUCGCGCUUGAAUACAUUAGCAUGGAAUAAUGAAAUAGGACGUUUGAUUCUAUUUUGUUGGUUUCUAGGAUCGACGUA
rnacentral:rRNA from 1 species